rnacentral:tRNA from 1 species
CAGGGUGUGGCGUAGUUGGUCGAGCGCGCUUGCAUUGGAAGCAAGAGAUCGGAGGUUCGAAUCCUUCCACCCUGACAA